UACAUCUGCAAUCGCCAACUCGUGAUACAUUUCAGCUUCGGCAACGCUACAUCUCUACCAGCUACGAGUCUGCACCGCCAUUAAGGAUUACAAAGGCAACCCCCAUAAGCUCUCAACGGAUGAGCUGCGUUGAAAUAUAGUUGAUGAGCAGGGUCACUUUAUAACAGUGGACAUGUUAAACAUAUGAGAGACGUGGUAUAAUUUAACAUUUUAACCUCCCUCCUGCGCGCCAUGAGCCACCCGCUCUGCAACCACUACGCCGCCCUCCUCUCCGCCGCCGCCGGCGGCGGCCGGAGCGGCGCGCGCGUGGCCUGCGCAGUCCACUGCCUCAUCCUCAGGACGCUGCCGCACCCGCCGCCGGUCCACCUCCUCAACCACCUGCUCACCGCCUACGGCAAGGCUGGCCGCCCCGCCCGCGCGCGCCGCCUGUUCGACGCGGUGCCGCACCCGAACCUCUUCACCUACAACGCGCUCCUCUCCACGCUCGCCCACGCCAGGCUCCUCGACGACAUGGAGGCCCUCUUCGCGUCAAUGCCGGAACGCGACGUCGUCUCCUACAACGCGCUCGUCGCUGGCUUCUCCGGCGCCGGCUCGCCUGCGCGGGCGGCCGGGGCGUACCGCGCGUUGCUCCGGGAGGACAACGCCAGCAUCAGGCCUAGCAGGAUCACCAUGUCGGCCAUGGUCAUGGCGGCGUCGGCCUUGGGCGACCGCGCACUCGGUAGGCAGUUUCAUUGCCAGAUACUGCGGCUUGGGUUUGGGGCGUACGCUUUUGUCGGGAGCCCGCUGGUGGAUAUGUAUGCUAAGAUGGGUCUCAUCGGGGACGCCAAGAGGGUCUUCGAUGAACUGGAGGGCAAGAACGUGGUGAUGUAUAACACCAUGAUCACUGGGCUGCUCCGCUGCAAGAUGGUUCAAGAGGCGAGGUGGCUGUUUGAGGUGAUGACGAACAGGGAUUCCAUUACUUGGACCACGAUGGUUACAGGGUUGACGCAGAAUGGGUUGGAGUCUGAGGCUCUGGACGUUUUCAGGAGGAUGAGGGUACAGGGUAUCACCAUUGAUCAGUACACCUUUGGAAGCAUCCUUACGGCCUGUGGUGCCCUUUCAGCCUUGGAACACGGCAAACAGAUCCAUACCUACGCAAUCAGGACUUGUUACGAUGAUAAUGUCUUUGUUGGGAGUGCGCUUGUUGACAUGUACUCAAAAUGCAGGAGCAUCAGGAUGGCAGAAACUGUUUUCAGGAGGAUGACAUUCAGAAACAUCAUCUCAUGGACUGCAAUGAUUGUUGGAUAUGGACAGAAUGGAUGCAGUGAGGAGGCUGUGAGGGCGUUCUCUGACAUGCAGAGAGAUGGCAUCGAUCCUGAUGACUACACCCUUGGAAGUGUAAUAAGUUCUUGCGCUAACCUAGCAAGCCUGGAGGAAGGUGCUCAAUUCCACUGCCUAGCUCUUGUGUCAGGAUUGAUGCCUUAUAUCACAGUGUCCAAUGCACUAGUUACCUUGUAUGGCAAGUGUGGUAGCAUUGAGGAUGCACACAGAUUGUUUGAUGAGAUGCCAUUUCACGAUCAGGUCUCCUGGACAGCCCUUGUCUCUGGGUAUGCUCAAUUUGGGAAGGCAAAAGAAACCAUUGAUUUGUUUGAGGAGAUGUUGUCUAAGGGUGUGAAGCCUGAUGGAGUAACAUUCAUUGGUGUCCUUUCUGCCUGUAGCCGUGCUGGAUUUGUAGAGAAAGGCCGCAGCUACUUUUAUUCCAUGCAGAAGGACCAUGGUAUUGCGCCCGCAGAUGAUCACUACACCUGUAUGAUUGACUUGUACAGCAGAUCAGGGAGGUUAAAAGAAGCUGAGGAGUUCAUAAAGCAAAUGCCGGUGUACCCUGACGCAAUUGGAUGGGGCACGUUGCUGAGCGCUUGCAGGUUGCGUGGUGAAAUGGAAAUCGGCAAAUGGGCUGCCGAGAAUCUCUUAGAAAUCGAUCCCCAGAACCCGGCUAGCUACGUGUUGCUGUGCAGCAUGCAUGCUGCUAAAGGUCAAUGGAAUGAGGUCGCACAGCUAAGGCGUGGAAUGAGGGACAGGCAAGUGAAGAAGGAGCCAGGCUGUAGCUGGAUCAAAUAUAAGAAUAAAGUUCACAUCUUUUCAGCUGAUGAUCAGUCUCACCCCUUCUCCAAGGAGAUUUAUGAAAAGCUUGAGUGGCUCAACUCUAAGAUGGUUGAAGAAGGAUACAAACCUGAUGUCAGUUCAGUGUUGCAUGAUGUGGCAGAUUCUGAUAAGGUUCACAUGCUCAGCCAUCACAGCGAGAAGCUUGCAAUUGCCUUUGGAUUAAUAUUUGUUCCACAAGAACUGCCGAUUCGUAUAGUCAAGAAUCUGCGGGUUUGUGUAGAUUGUCACAAUGCUACCAAGUUCAUAUCUAAGAUAACUGGCCGUGAUAUUCUUGUGAGGGACGCUGUCAGAUUCCACAAGUUCAGCAAUGGUGUAUGCUCUUGUGGGGACUUCUGGUGAUGACACCCUUUCUGAUUCUGACCAUUCAUCCAAGUGUGAAGUUUGACUGGGAAUUACAUGGCCUGAAUACUGUGGCCACCAGCUGGCUUUAUAUUCUUCUUACAAAAUAAGUCAGUUGACUUUGUGGGAUUUGUUUGAUGGUACACACGAAAGCUGAAAUUAGUACCGACCAUGUUCCUUGGCUAUCCAGGGUUGAAAGAGGUAUACUCUUGUGGAAAGAACAACCGGUCACAUUGUUAUAGAUGUUCUGGGGGAGAGGUUAUGGUUGGAUGUUCUUGGUCUCCAUGAAUUUGAUAGUGUCAGAAAAAGAAUUUCUGUUGUUGUAAGGUUUCCGGACAACAACAUAAAGUUUCUUGUGAAAGGUGCUGAUACAUCAAUGUUGAGCAUUUUGAUAGCAGAGAUUGGUGAUGGCCUUUAUGAUUCGUUGCAUGCUAAAAUUUGAGAAGCUACAGAAAAUCAUUUGUCAGGUUAUUCAUCAGAGGGUUUACGAACCUUAGUGAUUGGUUAAAAGCCUGACGAAUGCCGAAUUCAUUGAAUGGCAGGAAAGGUAUGAAGAAGCUAAUACCUCCAUGCAGGAGAGAUCAGCAAAGCUCCGUCAGGCAGCAGGUCUAGUAGAGUGCAAUCUGACUCUUCUUGGUGCAACCGGAAUUGAAGAUAUGUUGCAGGAUGGUGUUCCUGAGGCCAUUGAAUCCCUUCGACAGGCUGGAAUCAAGGUGUGGGUUCUCACAGGAGAUAAGCAAGAAACUGCUAUAUCUAUUGGUUUGUCAUGUGGGUUGUUGACUCAAAGCAUGCAUUCGAUUAUCACAAAUGGUUCCUCGGAGUUUGAGUGCAGGCGUCUUCUAGCUGAGGCUAAAUCGAAUUAUGGAAUAAAGUCUGCUGAUUUUCGAAGGGAUUCACAUGGCGCAGAAGGUUUGUGUAAUGGUGAUAUUUCUAAAUUGAGAUCGUCAAAUGGCCACGUCUGAAAGUGCUAUACAAAACUUCGAAUUAACUGGAGUUGCUGGUAACAAGUCAGAGUACAGCGAGAAAGUGACAAAUUUUGAUGGCACCGAGCUAGCACUGAUAAUUGAUGGGAGCUUCCUUGUGUAUGUUCUAGAGAAAGAUCUUGAAUAAGAGGUUUGAUCUUAAAUUUCAGAACAAUAUGCUCCCCUGAUCACAAAUGUACAGAUAUGGGAGAAACGAUACAUACACUCUGUAUUUAGGUAAGGUAGAGUUUGUGGUAGUUUGUGUUUAGGAAACAAAGACGUAAAUAGAUACAGAUUCUUUUCGCAUUCUGCAAAUUUUUUUGCAUCAUCUGACUAUGUUAACCACCUUCAUUUUCUUCCAGCUGUCAGGGCGUUUAGGUAGUGGCUUGUCCAGUUCGAAUUAAGUGUUGCAGCAAUACAAGGCUCAGUUCCCUAAUGCAGUCGCUCCAAAACACAUCGAACAUGUUGGACAUAUGAUUCAUGUACUAGUUCUACUUGCCUAGAUGUAAUUUUUCGGAUGAAAUGGCGCUACUACGCAAGCAUCGAGUAGAGGUGUUUGGGUGGAGCUUGUAUGGAGAGAGUACGGGAGUGCUAUACUCUGUUUAAGGCAUCUUACAAUGAUGGUUGCAGAAAGUGUACUGUUUCCAUAAAGAUUAUGUGAGAAAAGUCUAC